AUACGUAGGGUGCGAGCGUUGUCCGGAAUUACUGGGCGUAAAGAGCUCGUAGGUGGUUUGUCGCGUCGUCUGUGAAAUUCCGGGGCUUAACUCCGGGCGUGCAGGCGAUACGGGCAUAACUUGAGUACUGUAGGGGAGACCGGAAUUCCUGGUGUAGCGGUGAAAUGCGCAGAUAUCAGGAGGAACACCGGUGGCGAAGGCGGGUCUCUGGGCAGUAACUGACGCUGAGGAGCGAAAGCAUGGGUAGCGAACAGGAUUAGAUACCCUGGUAGUCCAUGCCGUAAACGGUGGGCGCUAGGUGUAGGGGUCUUCCACGACUUCUGUGCCGUAGCUAACGCAUUAAGCGCCCCGCCUGGGGAGUACGGCCGCAAGGCUAAAACUUAAAGGAAUUGACGGGG
rnacentral:rRNA from 1 species